AUACUUACCUGGCAAGGGAGACACCGUGAUCACCAAGGCGGUUCACCCAGGGCGAGGCUCGGCCAUUGCACUCCGGCUGUGCUGACCCCUGCGAAUUUCCCAAAUGUGGAAAUCUCGAGUGCAUAAUUUCUGGUAGUGGGGGACUGCGUUCGCGCUCUCCCCUG
ensembl:snRNA U1 U1 spliceosomal RNA